CGCAAGCUAAACUAGAACCGAACUCUAACACUUGAGUUCAAAGCAAUUCUAGUCUAUUACAAAUAAGUCCUAUGAAUUUUGGUAUCAUCAAAAUAAGGGUUAUGAUAUUCCACAAGGUUCCCAACAAAUCAGCAUCUCUGACUCAACUAAAUUAUCAAAUCUCUUCACUCUAACUCUAUCAUUGGGUUGUCCACUCAUAUCUCUAUUUAAAAGACAAUCUGUCUUAUCUGGUCAUAAAUAAAAAAUUAAAAAAAAUAAUCUCGCAUCUCGGCAUCUCAGUACUCUCAUUAGUGUUAAGACACUAUUUCU
rnacentral:lncRNA from 1 species